CCCUCCUUCCUUCAGUCGCUUUGUUUUCGUGAGGCGAGGCGGUGCGCCGUGUGUGAGCUGCGUGUCUCGCUGCGAACUUGUCAACUUGAUGCGUUUGUCGAACGGGAGGGCCGCCCCCCUGCUGGCAUUUCAGUGACUUUUCCCUUGGCCUUUCUUCGCGGUGUCGCGAGUCCUGGGGGCAUCGCUGCUGUGGCCCCAUCAGCUGAGCUUGGGGCUGGCGGCUCUACGCAGGACCCGUCGAGGAGAGGCGAGCUUGUCAGCGCCUCCGUUCCUUUUGGUGUUCUCAGUGAUUCCUUGAAUGGAAAGUGCCUGAACCUGUGUGGAUUUGGACGCCCAGUGUGGAUAAGUGGACGUGAAAUCAACUUUGCUCGCUCAUAGAUGGCGUGGACGGGGUAGACGGGGUAGACGAGCAGCAUGGGGAGCCCAGGGAGCCCCGCGGCGGACAGCAGCCAGCGGCGCCGCAGCGGCUGCCCCGACGGAGCGGUGGACUCGGCAUGACGCAUGACGCACAAUGGCUGACACUUCAGGCCCCGGCCCAGGUUCCGGGUCGGCAGAAGAGGUGGCGGCCGGCGGGGAUGACGGCGGGGGUGGCUGCGCGGACGUCGGGGACGUGUCCCCGGACAGCCGGCUGUCCCCCGACGCCGUGGACGACGUGGAGA